CAUUGCGACCACGACGCCUUUUCAAUCCACGUCUUCAGACCUUGUCAGGCGGAGUUUGACUGGGGCGGUACAUCUGUCAAAGAGUAACGCAGGUGUCCUAAGGUGAGCUCAGUGAGGACGGAAACCUCGCGUAGAGAAAAGCUAACUUGAUUUUCAGUAUGAAUACAGACCGCGAAAGCGUGGCCUAUCGAUCCUUUUAAACUUGCGAGUUUCAAGCCAAGAGGUGCCA